rnacentral:rRNA from 1 species
AUUGAACGCUGGCGGCAUGCCUUACACAUGCAAGUCGAACGGUAACAGGUCUUCGGAUGCUGACGAGUGGCGAACGGGUGAGUAAUACAUCGGAACGUGCCCGAUCGUGGGGGAUAGCGCAGCGAAAGCUGUGCUAAUACCGCAUACGAUCUACGGAUGAAAGCGGGGGAUCGCAAGACCUCGCGCGGACGGAGCGGCCGAUGGCAGAUUAGGUAGUUGGUGGGGUAAAGGCUCACCAAGACUGCGAUCUGUAGUUGGUCUGAGAGGACGACCAGCCACACUGAGACUGAGACACGGGCCAGACUCCUACGGGAGGCAGCAGUGGGGAAUUUUGGACAAUGGGCGCAAGCCUGAUCCAGCCAUGCCGCGUGCAGGAUGAAGGCCUUCGGGUUGUAAACUGCUUUUGUACGGAACGAAAAGGUUCUUUCUAAUAAAGAGAGCCCAUGACGGUACCGUAAGAAUAAGCACCGGCUAACUACGUGCCAGCCGCCGCCGUAA